CCACCUCUCUCUCUUUGUCGAGAGGAACAAGGGAUUUUGUGUCUUUUCCGGUGAAAUCGAGCUUCCCUUUUGGUGUAACCUCUUCGUCCGUCCCCUUGCACCAAAUUUUCAAACACCACAUGUUGGAUAGAUAGAUAUGCAUCAUAGAAAAAAAAGUUUGUAAAAAUCACAAGACAAACUAUGGAGAAAUUCUAGAUUGAUGAAGAAGAAAAGGCAAUUUUUUUUUUUUGAUAUUUUGACAAAGCAAAUUGAUCAAAACACAUUUUUGGAAGUUGAAAUAUUUUCUUAACUGAAACUUCCUUAAUUUUCGAAGAAACAUGUUUUAUUAUCCAUAAAAUGCACAUUAUAUACUGUGUAGAACCAUAACAAAAUCUUGUGUUUAGAUUUCGCGUUCCCGAAUUUUUAGAAUACUUCAUAAAAGUAAAAACUGCAUUUGAAACAAAAGUACUUAUCUUUACAUUUAGUAGAAUUCACAUUUUCCAUAUUUAGAAUCUAUCUUAUUAAUUUAGAAUCCUAAUUUUAUCUACUAUUGAGAAGUCAUAAUAAGACCAUUAUAUUAGUAGUAUAACAAAAUAAAUUUAUAGUAGAUAUCAAUCAAUUACAAAGAUAUUAACGUUUAUAUAAUUUUGACAAAAUAAAUCUAUUAAUUAUUUUAGUUCUUAAAAAUCAGUACCAAACAGCAAAAUUACAAUCUCCUAACAAGAUUUACGUAUAUUAUAUAAAUAUUGUUUCUGAAAUAUAUAAUUUACACCAACAUUGAUAUCAACACUAUUUAUAUAAUUCCCUCACGUCGUAAAUACUAUAGUACUAGAUACAAUUUUAAUAUCGUUAUUAAUAACUAUUUUUGUAGCUCCAUAAUGUUUAUAAGUACCAAAAUAAAUUAAACUAUUUUGCAUUUGCAAUAUGUAACACAACAUCAUACUUCUUUUCAUGUCAAUAAAAAAUAUAGCUCUAACAAAAAAUAAUCCGCGCAAGUGCGCAUGUAAAAAUUCUAGUUUUAAUUAAAAGUAGAUUGUUCGUUCUAAAAAAAGUAAAUUGACUUAUUUAUUCUGAAAUUCGUUUUCUACUAACUCACUUUUCGUAGAAGACGAAUUCUACGUUAAUAGAACAUAAUAAAACAAUUAUUUAUCAAGCUUUUCAACAAAAAAAUAUGUUAUUCUAUAUGGGUGUUUUAUUAAUUUUUUAUAUUUUUAAUCAUUUUUUUAUUUAUAAAACUAUUUAUUUAUUUAAUUUUUAGAAAUAUAAAAGGUAAAAUGGAAAUAAAAUGGACAAAAAUAGUUUUAUACCAAAAGAACAAUCAUCCUAAAUUUUUGUUUCGUUUUGACAAUUUUCCCAAAAAACUAUCAUAAUUAUACUAUUUUGUUCUUUGAAAAUUUAUAACUACCACGAAGACACAUCAUGAUCACAACAAAUACAAUACAAAUAUUUUUCAUUUCGUCAUUUCUUAAUUAUAAAAUGUGGAUAUAUAAUCUUUAUAAAACGAUAAAUGGAUAUGUGAUUCAGUUCGACUCGUUGAAAGUUGAAACUAAUUAAGGCAUCAGUGGAAUCAACUGUAAACUUCCGACAGAAAAAAAUCAAUGGAAGUUCUUCUUUCUUAGUAUUCAAAGUUUUGUUAGGGAAAAAUUAUUAAAUUUUUUGUGUCUCCUAUUCUUACCACUAAGUUUGAUCAAUCUCAUAUAUAUAUAAUAAUAUGUGUACAUAACGUCUUAAAUAUUCGAACAUUCCUGUGGUGGAUAUUAAGUUUUCUCCAACUUAAAAAAAAACAAAAGAAAAGUUUAAUCCAACUUUUGCAUCAUAGCUGACUUGUUUUAUAGAUCAUGAAGACGACUAAUUAUCUGCCGUGGACGUGAAAAAACCUCAAACCAUUUAGGAUCAAGCUUAGUGGCAUGAAUUUACAUGAAUUUUUAUAUAUACUCGGCCAUAAUAUUUUGGCUUCACAAAGCAUGUUUAAUCUGCGUUUUGCUCGAAUGACGUGUACGUAUUUACGCAAUACUAAUAUUGAUGAUUAGUGUUAUAUUAUAUAGUCACCUAGUUUGAAUAAUUUAGAUACAGCUUGCGCGUUUGGUUUUCUUCUAUCUAAAUUAGGCGUGCAUGUAUGAGUAAUUGUAUAUAUAUAUUUAUAAAUUGGCCGAUCGACAAAUAUCUGAGACCAACCAAAUUGAUCUUCAUUGUUUGUAAGAGUCAAAUGACAGAUAACCUAAUGAUUUUAAAUGUCAAGACUCUUAACUUCCUGCAAAGCACCUACUAAUCUCCCACUAUAUCCACUUGCUAAUUUAAAAUUACGAUAAUAAUGUGCAAAAUCGUAGAAAUACAGCUUUUUUUGUUUCCUUUUUCUUUUUGUAGAAAUACAGGUAAAGUAAGAAAAAAAUGUAAAAAAUGUAUACAUGUGUACAAAUGAAGAAUUUUAAUUAAGUAGCCUGGGGAUCCGAAUUAGAUUAGAUAGUUCUUUUAUUAUAAAACCCUCCCGCGUAGCUGAAUAUAUAGACGAACAAACAUUUAUCAGAUACUCUGAUACUCACCGCGGCGAGGCGGAAGUGAUCAAUAGAGUUAUACAGUAGAACAAUUUUUGUCUGUGUUGAAAAAUGAAUUGCAUAAGACGGCGAGUAAUAUCACCGUGGCGGUUCUCUGUAAACAUCUUUUUCCACUGUUUACAAUUACCAGCAGCUGUUGUCGUAUCUUCUACUUUUUAUGAUACAACUAUGCUUUUAUUGAAAGCCUGUUACAAAAAAAAACUAUGCUUUUAUUACAAAAACUCGUAGAUUUUUUUCUGGAGUAAAAUGUUAAAUUUUAUACGAUUUUUUGUUUGAGAGAAAUUACAUAGAAAUAAAUAGUAUAAAAU